rnacentral:rRNA from 1 species
GUGCCAGCAGCCGCGGUAAUACGGAGGGUGCAAGCGUUAUCCGGAUUCACUGGGUUUAAAGGGUGCGUAGGCGGGUUGGUAAGUCCGUGGUGAAAUCCCCAAGCUUAACUUGGGAACUGCCGUGGAUACUAUCAAUCUUGAAUAUCGUGGAGGUAAGCGGAAUAUGUCAUGUAGCGGUGAAAUGCUUAGAUAUGACAUAGAACACCAAUUGCGUAGGCAGCUUACUACACGAUCAUUGACGCUGAGGCACGAAAGCGUGGGGAGCAAACAGGAUUAGAAACCCCCGUAGUCC